CGGUUUUGGAGUUUCCACGUUAUAUUCUUGUGUUGUGAUUGUGUCUUGAAUUUUUUAACUUAUGCUAUUUUUCCCAACAAAGGUAACCGAAAUCUCGUCGGCCAACAUGAUGAAGGAGAAAAUAUUAGACAUUACAUCAAAGACUCGGUUGAUUCAAGGAGAAAAAUACUGCAUUAGUAAAAAUAUCGACUACUUAGUUGUCUUUCUUGUAUACAUGAGAUAACUUAAAGUGAUCCAAUGUUACAGGUACCUCAUUUAUACAAGUAACAAGACAAGAACAUAUAUGUUUGUUAGAGGAGUUCUUUGAGAUUAAGGACAUCACUACUUAUUAGUUUGAUUUGAUAUCAAUCUUUCUGAACUCUAUGGAAAAGACAAGCUCAAAACCUUUAUAUAUAACCUAAUAUUUUGCCAUCAAGAUUAUAUACACCUCUAAAGCAUAAGAGUUGUCGCAAAAGAAAGCACCUUAUGAUCACAAACCACCCCUCCACAAACUUCCAUUCCAUUUGAGCUUGGACUGCAUAUCUCCAUUGUAGACACCCAACCAUCUUAGACUCAUAAAUUAAGAGGUUAUCGUAGAGGAAAAAUUUGCGUCAAAUAUAGUCGAUACUCUAACAUGUUUCAACCCCUACCUGUUGGGUAUUGAGCUCCCUUCCUAUGUGAAGAAAGGUCCAAUAUUGUAGACCAUAUGUCUCACUUAUUUAAGUGGAGUGUGGUCUAAUUAGGAUUGUAAGAGAGAGACUAAUUUGAUAGGAAAGAUAACCACUAGAAGAGAAAAUAGAAGAGUAACCAUAUUCCCGAUUUUGUUAUAUCAAUCUUAGAAAAACAUUGUUGGCACAUUCUUUAACCGUUGGAUCGGGAUGACUUUUGGACAGCAGGUUCGAAACAUCCAUGUCUUCGUUUUCAACGGUCGGAUCGACGAAAAAACAUCUGGAUGGGGGAGAAGUCGUGCUCGCACAACAAUAGAUUUUUUUUUUAUGUUUUAUUUCUUCUUGCUUUUCAUUUGUAGGCUUUAGUGCUUUUUUAUUUUGGCUGGUUGUAGGCACACUUUGUGCAUUAUUUUGAGACUCUCUUGUACUCUUAUUUGAUUAUAGUGGAGCUAUUUCUUUGGUCCGGAUGAACCGCGAUUUUUACUCUUGCAUUGAUGGGUUUUCCACAUUAAAAUAUCAGUGUUUUUUACGCUAUUUUAUUUUGAUUAA
rnacentral:lncRNA from 1 species